GUCUACAGCCAUGCUACUCUGAGCAAGCCCAAUCCCGACUGAUCUCAGAAGAUAAGCAGAGUCGGGCCUGGUUAGUACUUGGAUGGGAGACCACCUAGGAAGACCAGAUGCUGUAGGCG
rnacentral:rRNA from 1 species